GACGAACGCUGGCGGCGUGCUUAACACAUGCAAGUCGAGCGGUAAGGCCUUUCGGGGUACACGAGCGGCGAACGGGUGAGUAACACGUGGGUGAUCUGCCCUGCACUUCGGGAUAAGCCUGGGAAACUGGGUCUAAUACCGGAUAUGACCUCCUAUCGCAUGGUGGGGGGGGGAAAGAUUUAUCGGUGCAGGAUGGGCCCGCGGCCUAUCAGCUUGUUGGUGGGGUAAUGGCCUACCAAGGCGACGACGGGUAGCCGACCUGAGAGGGUGACCGGCCACACUGGGACUGAGACACGGCCCAGACUCCUACGGGAGGCAGCAGUGGGGAAUAUUGCACAAUGGGCGAAAGCCUGAUGCAGCGACGCCGCGUGAGGGAUGACGGCCUUCGGGUUGUAAACCUCUUUCAGCAGGGACGAAGCGCAAGUGACGGUACCUGCAGAAGAAGCACCGGCUAACUACGUG
rnacentral:rRNA from 1 species